AUUUAUGGACUGAAAUACUUUCAAUAUACUAGAUUCAAUGAUAAUUACAAGGAAAGUAAUGGGCAGAAGUUGCUGAUAAAACAAUGAAGGACAUCUGCAGUUAAAUUUGCCAUUUCUUUAUAGAAAUUCAUGACUCAGAAGCCAUUUUAGAUGUUAAAUCAUGCUGUUGAAUCCAAGCAUUACGGAAACAAAACUUGAUUUGGAAUUCAGUGCUAAAGACACUUUCACUUUGCUGCACUUCAAUGAUCAAGUACUGAUUUUUGAUCUUAAAAUUAGGAAGCAAAACAUGAUUGAAGAAUCUGAGAUAUCUGAGCCUGAGGAGAGUAUCAUGAGAAUUUUAAAAUUGAUUGAGAGGAUUGAAUUCAUUGCAGAUGGCAUCAUCAUUAUUAAGAGCAUUGAUUUGAAUGAAUAGUGAGCAGCAACAAGUAGAUAAGGAAUAAAGAGAAUUGCAUUUUAUUAGGUGAUUUUUUUUCUCAAGCCAUUUUCAAAAACUUCUACAUUGUAAUUUUUAUUAUUGGAGAUUCCCUACCUGUAGCCAUGUAAUCUAGAUAAAGGCUUCAUUUUCCAUAAAUUAUUAUUUGUUAGAUUUUAUAAUUGUUGUAAUUUUUUUCUAAUUUUUAUUUUCCUGUUCUAACAGUAAUAUAUUAAAAAUAAAGUGAUU
rnacentral:lncRNA from 1 species